UUUUUUUCUUGCCUAGCAGCCAUGUCGUGCCAGGUUUGCUUCUUCUGUUACUUCUGGCUAAGAAAAUCCCUGAUGAGAAAUGAAGCAUCUAUGGUUAGCUAAUCUACACCCUUUCUCCAAA